UUUGCCCCAUGAGACGUAACCCUGGCCUAAGUGUCGCGGUUAUGCUAUAAGAGGGCAAACAGAAACUGGCUAUAAAUGGCCUAAGUGCCCUGCAGUGGGCAUUAGGUAUGGUACAUGGCCAGAGUCU